AUUGAACGCUGGCGGCAGGCUUAACACAUGCAAGUCGAGCGGUAACAGAGAGAAGCUUGCUUCUCUGCUGACGAGCGGCGGACGGGUGAGUAAUGCCUAGGAAUCUGCCUAGUAGCGGGGGAUAACUUGCCGAAAGGUAAGCUAAUACCGCAUACGUCCUACGGGAGAAAGGAGGGGACCUUCGGGCCUUUCGCUAUUAGAUGAGCCUAGGUCGGAUUAGUUAGUUGGUGAGGUAAUGGCUCACCAAGACCGCGAUCCGUAACUGGUCUGAGAGGCUGAUCAGUCACACUGGAACUGAGACACUGUCCCGACUCCUACGGAGGGCAGCAGUGGGGAAUAUUGGACAAUGGGGGGAACCCUGAUCCAGCCAUGCCGCGUGUGUGAAGAAGGUCUUAGGAUUGUAAAGCACUUUAAGUUGGGAGGAAGAGCAGUUAACUAAUAUUUGACUGUUUUGACGUUACCGACAGAAUAAGCACCGGCUAACUUCGUGCCAGCCGCCGCCGUAA
rnacentral:rRNA from 1 species